GUAGUUGUGGCCGAAUGGUUUAAGACAAUACACAUGUAAUCCAUUGGGGUUUCCCUCUGCAGGUUUAAAUCCUGCCGACUUCG